GACGAACGCUGGCGGCGUGCCUAAUACAUGCAAGUAGAACGCUGAAGCUUGGUGCUUGCACCGAGCGGAUGAGUUGCGAACGGGUGAGUAACGCGUAGGUAACCUGCCUGGUAGCGGGGGAUAUCUAUUGGAAACGAUAGCUAAUACCGCAUAACAGUAGAUAUCGCAUGAUAGCUACUUGAAAGGUGCAAAUGCACCACUACCAGAUGGACCUGCGUUGUAUUAGCUAGUUGGUGAGGUAACGGCUCACCAAGGCAACGAUACAUAGCCGACCUGAGAGGGUGAUCGGCCACACUGGGACUGAGACACGGCCCAGACUCCUACGGGAGGCAGCAGUAGGGAAUCUUCGGCAAUGGACGGAAGUCUGACCGAGCAACGCCGCGUGAGUGAAGAAGGUUUUCGGAUCGUAAAGCUCUGUUGUAAGAGAAGAACGAGUGUGAGAGUGGAAAGUUCACACUGUGACGGUAUCUUACCAGAAAGGGACGGCUAACUACGUG
rnacentral:rRNA from 1 species